rnacentral:rRNA from 4 species
CACGCAGGCGGUCUGUCAAGUCGGAUGUGAAAUCCCCGGGCUCAACCUGGGAACUGCAUUCGAAACUGGCAGGCUUGAGUCUUGUAGAGGGGGGUAGAAUUCCAGGUGUAGCGGUGAAAUGCGUAGAGAUCUGGAGGAAUACCGGUGGCGAAGGCGGCCCCCUGGACAAAGACUGACGCUCAGGUGCGAAAGCGUGGGGAGCAAACAGGAUUAGAUACCCUGGUAGUCCACGCCGUAAACGAUGUCUACUUGGAGGUUGUGCCCUUGAGGCGUGGCUUCCGGAGCUAACGCGUUAAGUAGACCGCCUGGGGAGUACGGCCGCAAGGUUAAAACUCAAAUGAAUUGACGGGGGCCCGCACAAGCGGUGGAGCAUGUGGUUUAAUUCGAUGCAACGCGAAGAACC